UACGUAGGGCGCAAGCGUUGUCCGGAAUUAUUGGGCGUAAAGAGCUCGUAGGUGGCUUGUCACGUCGGGUGUGAAAGCUUGGGGCUUAACUCCAGGUCUGCAUUCGAUACGGGCUGGCUAGAGGUAGGUAGGGGAGAACGAAUUCCUGGUGUAGCGGUGAAAUGCGCAGAUAUCAGGAGAACACCAGUGGCGAAAAGCAGCUUUCUGGGACGGUACUGACGCUGAGACGCGAAAGCGUGGGGAGCGAACAGG
rnacentral:rRNA from 1 species